rnacentral:rRNA from 1 species
AGUGAACGCUGGCGGUAGGCCUAACACAUGCAAGUCGAACGGCAGCACAGUAAGAGCUUGCUCUUACGGGUGGCGAGUGGCGGACGGGUGAGGAAUACAUCGGAAUCUACUUUUUCGUGGGGGAUAACGUAGGGAAACUUACGCUAAUACCGCAUACGACCUACGGGUGAAAGCAGGGGAUCUUCGGACCUUGCGCGAUUGAAUGAGCCGAUGUCGGAUUAGCUAGUUGGCGGGGUAAAGGCCCACCAAGGCGACGAUCCGUAGCUGGUCUGAGAGGAUGAUCCGCCACACUGGAACUGAGACACCGUCCAGACUCCUACGGGAGGCAGCAGUGGGGAAUAUUGGACAAUGGGCGCAAGCCUGAUCCAGCCAUACCGCGUGGGUGAAGAAGGCCUUCCGGUUGUAAAGCCCUUUUGUUGGGAAAGAAAAGCAGCAGGUUAAUACCCCGCUGUUCUGACGGUACCCAAAGAAUAAGCACCGGCUAACUUCGUG